rnacentral:rRNA from 1 species
CCUACGGGUGGCUGCAGUCGAGAAUCAUUCACAAUGGGGGAAACCCUGAUGGUGCGACGCCGCGUGGGGGAAUGAAGGUCUUCGGAUUGUAAACCCCUGUCAUGUGGGAGCAAAUUAAAAAGAUAGUACCACAAGAGGAAGAGACGGCUAACUCUGUGCCAGCAGCCGCGGUAAUACAGAGGUCUCAAGCGUUGUUCGGAAUCACUGGGCGUAAAGCGUGCGUAGGCUGUUUCGUAAGUCGUGUGUGAAAGGCGCGGGCUCAACCCGCGGACGGCACAUGAUACUGGGAGACUAGAGUAAGGGAGGGGGAACCGGAAUUCUCGGUGUAGCAGUGAAAUGCGUAGAUAUCGAGAGGAACACUCGUGGCGAAGGCGGGUUCCUGGACAUUAACUGACGCUGAGGCACGAAGGCCAGGGGAGCGAAAGGGAUUAGAUACCCGAGUAGUC